GGAAACGGCGCCGUUUUAACAUUCUUCGUUUCCAGACUUCAUUUAGGGCUUUAUUUUGAGGGAAAAAUACCAGAGAGGAGCGAGCGUGAUAGCAGAAACGAAAGAGAAGGGAUUCUGGCUUUCAUCUUCUUUUCUUUCUCCCCUGAAAAGGAGAGGUGGAAGUGAGCUUUUUCGGUUCUGUUGAGUGAAAAACAGAGAGGAAUAAACAGUGACGAAAAUCAAGAAAGGAAGAGGGAAGAAGUAGUCCGAGUUCGACAAUCCCAGUACUUGGAAUGGGCAUCAGUUGGGAUCAUAUAAGAAUACUAGUUGGUCUUGAAAUUGGUUUGAGGACGAUCAUCACAAAAACCAGCCAUGCAACUGAAAGUCAAUGGGUACUCCAGAGAUAGUGAGUCUGAAGCUGGCGGGCCUGAGCCCCAAUGUCUACAAGUUUUGGCAUAGUUGUGUGGCGUCGGGCAAUAGAAAAGAACCGAA